rnacentral:rRNA from 1 species
UGCAAGUCGAACGAACUCUGGUAUUGAUUGGUGCUUGCAUCAUGAUUUACAUUUGAGUGAGUGGCGAACUGGUGAGUAACACGUGGGAAACCUGCCCAGAAGCGGGGGAUAACACCUGGAAACAGAUGCUAAUACCGCAUAACAACUUGGACCGCAUGGUCCGAGUUUGAAAGAUGGCUUCGGCUAUCACUUUUGGAUGGUCCCGCGGCGUAUUAGCUAGAUGGUGGGGUAACGGCUCACCAUGGCAAUGAUACGUAGCCGACCUGAGAGGGUAAUCGGCCACAUUGGGACUGAGACACGGCCCAAACUCCUACGGGAGGCAGCAGUAGGGAAUCUUCCACAAUGGACGAAAGUCUGAUGGAGCAACGCCGCGUGAGUGAAGAAGGGUUUCGGCUCGUAAAACUCUGUUGUUAAAGAAGAACAUAUCUGAGAGUAACUGUUCAGGUAUUGACGGUAUUUAACCAGAAAGCCACGGCUAACUACGUGCCAGCAGCCGCGGUAAUACGUAGGUGGCAAGCGUUGUCCGGAUUUAUUGGGCGUAAAGCGAGCGCAGGCGGUUUUUUAAGUCUGAUGUGAAAGCCUUCGGCUCAACCGAAGAAGUGCAUCGGAAACUGGGAAACUUGAGUGCAGAAGAGGACAGUGGAACUCCAUGUGUAGCGGUGAAAUGCGUAGAUAUAUGGAAGAACACCAGUGGCGAAGGCGGCUGUCUGGUCUGUAACUGACGCUGAGGCUCGAAAGUAUGGGUAGCAAACAGGAUUAGAUACCCUGGUAGUCCAUACCGUAAACGAUGAAUGCUAAGUGUUGGAGGGUUUCCGCCCUUCAGUGCUGCAGCUAACGCAUUAAGCAUUCCGCCUGGGGAGUACGGCCGCAAGGCUGAAACUCAAAGGAAUUGACGGGGGCCCGCACAAGCGGUGGAGCAUGUGGUUUAAUUCGAAGCUACGCGAAGAACCUUACCAGGUCUUGACAUACUAUGCAAAUCUAAGAGAUUAGACGUUCCCUUCGGGGACAUGGAUACAGGUGGUGCAUGGUUGUCGUCAGCUCGUGUCGUGAGAUGUUGGGUUAAGUCCCGCAACGAGCGCAACCCUUAUUAUCAGUUGCCAGCAUUAAGUUGGGCACUCUGGUGAGACUGCCGGUGACAAACCGGAGGAAGGUGGGGAUGACGUCAAAUCAUCAUGCCCCUUAUGACCUGGGCUACACACGUGCUACAAUGGAUGGUACAACGAGUUGCGAACUCGCGAGAGUAAGCUAAUCUCUUAAAGCCAUUCUCAGUUCGGAUUGUAGGCUGCAACUCGCCUACAUGAAGUCGGAAUCGCUAGUAAUCGCGGAUCAGCAUGCCGCGGUGAAUACGUUCCCGGGCCUUGUACACACCGCCCGUCACACCAUGAGAGUUUGUAACACCCAAAGUCGGUGGGGUAACCCUUUUAGAACCA